UCUAAUAUGGCAGAAUAAUGCAAUGAAUUUAAGAUUCAUAAAUAAAGAUUUAUCUUUUAUUAGAA
rnacentral:tRNA from 1 species